UAGGUAUAGCAAGUAUUUUUAUAGCAUUGUAUAGUUUAGGAUUAAAUAAGACUUCUCAUUCCUCCCUCUUACCACAUACCCUAAAACCAAUAUAAGGUUGAAACAUGAAAAUGCCAAUAUUUGGCUAAAGCAACUGGGAAAAUCAUAACUUUCUGACAGAGUCAGUGUUUAUGUUUAGAAAUAUCUUUGAAGGGACGUAUAACAUAACCAGGAUUACUUUUGGUUAGAAUAAUAUAUUUUAUACUACAUUCAUAACCUGUGUUUUUAACCAUUUCAAUACCCACAAAGGAUAUAGUCUAGCCUCAGUUGCAAGUGUGAGUAUUUUGGGGGAGGGGGUGAGAGUAAGAACAUGGCUGGUCCUGUAUUUGAGAUGAUUUCUAUAUCAGGUAGAAGGCAGAGAAACACCUCCCAUUACAGGAAAGAGAUUUGCAUGUGACUUUACAUCCACAACUGGAAUUUCAGAAAAACAUUCAUUUUGCCUACAAGAGUAAACAGAACCAUGCCUAGGGAAGUGUGACCUGAGCAAAAUUCCACAGUGAGGUUCUCAGAGCCUUUCCUUGCAUGGGUGGUAACAACAUUCUCCCUCUACCUUUUCACUUUUUCCCGGACACACACAUACCCACAUAUCCAUGUGUCACAGAGCAGUAGAACGGGGCUUCACACAAUCCAUCAGUUAUAGUUCUGAAUAAGAAGAAAUAAUUAGGUUGUGACAAUAGUCUCCUCAUCAACAGGCAUUCUUUACAGUAAAGCUUGUUUCCAGCCUGUAUAUUCUGUACUGUAACUAUAUAUUCGGUACUGUAUCUAUAAGUCACUGUGUUGUCCCUGUCUGAAAUGAGAUUGCAGAGUGACUCACAGAUAACUGAAUGUAUUAAGUUGAGUGAAAUAAUGUCACUGGAACCAAGAAACUGGACAGGAGACCAGCUUUCAGCUUCAAGUCCCUAGUUCUUCAAUCUUUCAUUGUUUUGUUUUCAUUUUUGUUUUUUGUUUUGUUUUGUUUUGUUUUGUUUUACAAAGUGUUUAACAUUAUCCUAAUGUCAGGUUUUCCUGGAGUUCAGGAAGAGUCUGGUUCAAUUCUCAAGCACUUCGGGUCAAUGCUGGACAAGGAACCCAGCCGCAAUGGCUGCGGCUUCUAUGUAUCUUUAGGAAUAAAAGAUAAGCCCCUUAUUGUGUGGCUCAUCUUCUGCUUGGGUGCAGAAGGCAGGUGAUCCAGGCCCUGCUGUGACAGAGUAUGCUAGGCCCCAGGGGACAGACUUCUCACCAUUUCCAGGGACAAAUCUGUUGGUGAGACUUGGGGAUCCUGCUGAAUUCAGUGCAGCUACCCUUGGGGAGCAAAUAUCACCAGAACUGUGCCUCAGAACUUUACAUAGAUGCUCCUUCAAGUAGGGCAGAAGGACUUUCUGUUUCUUUUUCUUCUCUUUACAGGAGGACUUUUUUAUCACAUGGAUAAAAGAGGAAACAUCAAAAGUCUCCAGGUCACUUUGCCAUUGUACAAAUCUCAAAAUUUCACAAGCCUACCCUCGUCAUUUAUGGAAAAUUUGGGAGAAAAGAAGCUGAAGGAGGAGUGGUCAGCCAAACCAGGUAGAGCUCGACCUUCUGAGGGCAUGCUGCCUCCUUCCAUGCUGUCCCCACUGAGGUUAGAGGACCAGUUUUCCUUCAGACAUGGCCACCUCUGAUCAUCUGACUGAAAAAGUUCUUUGGCUCAGUCCAGCUGUACAAACCACGGAGGUGAUUGAGAAAGACAUUUAUCUAAGAGAAGUUGAGAAUAUUAUGGAUAAUAUGAAGGGUGAAAGACUAAAAAUUCAACACCAAGGAUGCCGUUUGCUGCAAAAUUUAUUGAGAUAGUUUUUUAAACAGGUUAAGAAAGUUUUGUUCUAUUUCAAGCAUGACUUGGUACAUGUAAAUGGAAGAAAACAGGUGUAUCUAUUGUCAUUUCCAUCAGAGUGCCUUUGGAAGACUACAUAACCAACAGUUCCCAUUUCACCACAAUUUCUAGUAAGACAGCAUGACUGAC